rnacentral:rRNA from 1 species
AGAGUUUGAUCAUGGCUCAGAACGUACGCUGGCGGCACGCCUAAUACAUGCAAGUCGAACGGGGUAGCAAUACCUAGUGGCAGACGGGUGAGUAACGUGUGGGUAUCUUCCCUUUGGUGAGGAAUAACACGAGGAAACUUGUGCUAAUACCUCAUAAGUCUUUACAGAGAAAGCUUUAUGCGCCAAUGGAUGAGCCCGCACUUGAUUAGUUAGUUGGUAGGGUAAUGGCCUACCAAGACUUUGAUCAAUAGCUGAUUUGAGAGGAUGAUCAGCCACAUUGGGACUGAGACACGGCCCAAACUCCUACGGGAGGCAGCAGUAGGGAAUCUUGCACAAUGGAGGAAACUCUGAUGCAGCGAUGCCGCGUGAGUGAAGAAGGCCCUUGGGUUGUAAAGCUCUUUCGUCGGGGAAGAAAAUGACUGUACCCGAAUAAGAAGGUCCGGCUAGCUUCGUGCCAGCAGCCGCGGUAAUACGAAGGGACCUAGCGUAGUUCGGAAUUACUGGGCUUAAAGAGUUCGUAGGUGGUUAAAAAAGUUGGUGGUGAAAUCCCAGAGCUUAACUCUGGAACUGCCAUCAAAACUUUUUAGCUAGAGUAUGAUAGAGGAAAGCAGAAUUUCUAGUGUAGAGGUGAAAUUCGUAGAUAUUAGAAAGAAUACCAAUUGCGAAGGCAGCUUUCUGGAUCAUUACUGACACUGAGGAACGAAAGCAUGGGUAGCGAAGAGGAUUAGACACCCUCGUAGUCCAUGCCGUAAACGAUGUGUGUUAGAUGUUGGAAAUUUAUUUUCAGUAUCGCAGCGAAAGCGUUAAACACACCGCCUGGGGAGUACGACCGCAAGGUUAAAACUCAAAUGAAUUGACGGGGACCCGCACAAGUAGUGGAGCAU